rnacentral:rRNA from 1 species
AUUGAACGCUGGCGGCAGGCCUAACACAUGCAAGUCGAACGAGUGGCGGACGGGUGAGUAAUGUCUGGGAAACUGCCCGAUGGAGGGGGAUAACUACUGGAAACGGUAGCUAAUACCGCAUACCAUCGGAUGUGCCCAGAUGGGAUUAGCUAGUAGGUGGGGUAACGGCUCACCUAGGCGACGAUCCCUAGCUGGUCUGAGAGGAUGACCAGCCACAUGGAGACUGAGAAACUGUCCAGAGUCCAAAGGGAGGCAGAAGUGGGGAAUGUUGCACAAUGGGCGCGAGCCGGAUUCAGCCAUGCCGCGGGUAUGAAGAAGGCUUUAGGGUUGUAAAGUACUUUCAGCGGGGAGGCGUGACGCGCAGAAGAAGCACCGGCUAACUCCGGGCCAGCCGCCGCGGUAAUAC